rnacentral:misc_RNA from 1 species
CAGCAUCGCCACCCACGGUGGUUUUACCAGUGCUGUGCUUCGCGGCGCUCGGCAGUGCUGGUAGAGAAAGAGAGCGCCGACCCUAGCCCCUCAUCUGGGUAAGGAACCCUCUGCCGUAGCCACGUCGACUCUCUUCAUACACUUACAGCGAGAGUGCCACAAACCGCGCAGCUUCUAGACUUUGUUUGCGCAGAUGUCUCCAUUCCUCUUUUCUUCUUUUUCUUUCUGGUGGACCUCCUCGCGAGGGUAGACGGCAGUCGGCAUACAAGCAUGCAGAGGGUGUUGGUGCUGCUAGGAACGACGAGUGAUGACGCAUUUCUCUUUUCCUCCUCUCCUCUCUCGCAGCGGGCAAGCGCGAACGCCUCAGCCGACCGCCGACUUGACGGAAACUGUUCGCCUUUGGGUCAGACAUACAUCCACUUCCCUUCUUGUGCAGCAGGUUUUUUUUUUCAUCACACUGCCGCCGUGAGGCUCGAUGAUGCCUUUCCUCGCCGCUCUGUCCUUUCCUUUGCAGAAAUGUUUCCCCUUCUUGUAUCGGGUGUGGCCGCUAGUUCUCCUGUACGGCUUUUCACCACCACGUACGGGCAUACACAUGCGUGUGGGGCGUGCCAGCUCUCUUCCCCUCUUUUAGUGUUGAGGAGGAUGACAGCUAGGUUUACUGCCUUGUCUGUGCGUUCGAAUCCGUCCCACCGCCAUUAGCCCCUCCCUCCCCCCCCCCAUCAUGCCAGCCACCGGGCGAGGGACAUGAUGGAUAAGGGAAUUUCUGGACCCUGCACUUUCGUAGAAUUCAUGCAAAGGAUACGCCAAAAUUCCGAAAGGGUGGAACGCAGAAGCCAGAAAGCCUGGAUGGAACCCCUCGACUCGAUUACUUGUCCUCCUCUCCCCUCUUGGAUCACACACUAG